rnacentral:rRNA from 1 species
UACGGAGGGGGCAAGCGUUGUUCGGAUUUACUGGGCGUAAAGCGACCGCAGGCGGUCUAUCAAGUCAGAUGUGAAAGCCCUGGGCUCAACCCGGGAAUUGCAUUUGAAACUGGCAGACUAGAGUCAUGGAGAGGUAAGUGGAAUUACCAGUGUAGAGGUGAAAUUCGUAGAUAUUGGUAGGAACACCAGAGGCGAAGGCGACUUACUGGCCAUGUACUGACGCUAAGGGUCGAAAGCGUGGGGAGCAAACAGG